CCUACGGGAGGCAGCAGUGAGGAAUAUUGGUCAAUGGACGAGAGUCUGAACCAGCCAAGUAGCGUGAAGGAUGAAUGCCCUAUGGGUUGUAAACUUCUUUUAUAUGGGAAUAAAACAGGGUAUGCAUACCCUCGUGUAUGGACCAUAUGAAUAAGGAUCGGCUAACUCUGUGCCAGAAGCCGAGGUAAUACGGAGGAUCCGAGCGUUAUCCGGAUUUAUUGGGUUUAAAGGGCGCGUAGGUGGAUUGUUAAGUCAGUUGUGAAAGUUUGCGGCUCAACCGUAAAAUUGCAGUUGAAACUGGCAGUCUUGAGUACAGUAGAGGUGGGCGGAAUUCGUGGUGUAGCGGUGAAAUGCUUAGAUAUCACGAAGAACUCCGAUUGCGAAGGCAGCUCACUGGACUGCAACUGACACUGAUGCUCGAAAGUGUGGGUAUCAAACAGGAUUAGAUACCCUUGUAGUC
rnacentral:rRNA from 1 species